CAAAGGAAUUGACGGGGGCCCGCACAAGCGGUGAGCAUGUGGUUUAAUUCGAAGCAACGCGAAGAACCUUACCAGGUCUUGACAUCCCUGACAACCCGAGAGAUCCGGGCGGUUCCCCCUUCGGGGGGACAGGGUGACAGGUGGUGCAUGGUUGUCGUCAGCUCGUGUCGUGAGAUGUUGGGUUAAGUCCCGCAACGAGCGCAACCCCUAUUGUUAGUUGCCAUCAUUCAGUUGGGCACUCUAGCGAGACUGCCGGUAAUAAACCGGAGGAAGGUGGGGAUGACGUCAAAUCAUCAUGCCCCUUAUGACCUGGGCUACACACGUGCUACAAUGGUUGGUACAACGAGUUGCGAGUCGGUGACGGCGAGCUAAUCUCUUAAAGCCAAUCUCAGUUCGGAUUGUAGGCUGCAACUCGCCUACAUGAAGUCGGAAUCGCUAGUAAUCGCGGAUCAGCACGCCGCGGUCGAAUACGUUCCCGGGCCUU
rnacentral:rRNA from 1 species